UUCCAUUUUCGUCCAUACUUAGGGCUUAAUUAAGCUUUACUAAUUACGCAUAUAUAUACUCUAAUCUAACCCUAAAUAUUCCUCUCUCUCCUUAUUCUCUCAUUUUCACGCCGCCCCCACUAUCUCUCAUUUUCUCUCUCUGUGUCUGAAUCGACGAUGAAUUGGUGCCCUUCUCUUGUGCCGACGGCAGUGAUGAAAUUGGAAAUCUUUUUCGAUUAUAUCCCUUUUUUGAGAUCUGCUCUGAUCUCACACGAUGGUGGCUUCACUACCCUUGUCAACGUGUUUGCAGGCCAAAACCCUUUGCUUCCCUAUCCGACAAUAGAGAUGAAAUUGGAAAUUUUUUCCGAUUCUGAGCCGAUGAGUCUUCAGAUCUGUGAAGUUUUGGAAGAAAUCGAUUUCAGAUGUAAAGUUUAUUCAUUUUGUUCGAUUUUGUUCAUUUCUUCAUUUUGUUCGAUUUUGUUCAUUUUGUAAAGUUAAUUCAGAUGUAAAGUCAUAUCUUCAUUUUGUUCAAUUGUAAAAUAGAGAGAGAAAAGUUAAUUAAGAUGUAAAGUGUAUGAGAGAGAGAAUCGAUUGUAAUUAAGAUAAAUAAAAUAGUGGGUCAUAGUAUUUAAAACACUAAUUAAACAUGACUCCUUUCUUAAUUCCCGUGCCGAAAAGUUUCGGGUCACUUAUAGUGGGACGGAGAGUACUAAUUACGAAAUAUGUAUUAUGUAUAUAUUAUAUAGAUUAUAGUGCUUGAUUAAUCUUAAAUAUUCAAAAUUUCUUUUGUACUUGUUGGCUAAAUAUUCAUGAAAGAAAGAUAAAUAAAUACAUAUGUUAAAAGUCCAUACAUGGUUAUAAUCUUAUCUAUAUUAAUAUUUUGACAAUUUUAUUUAUAUUUAUUAAUAUUUUAUAUACAUAUACUGAACAUUUUAUGAUCAUUUCAGACAAAAAUAUAUUAUUACAUAUUUAAUUAAAAAAAUAUGUUAUUGCAUAUUUAAUAUGGUCAUAUAGGGUAAAGUUAGGCUACAAUCUCAUUUUAAAAAUAAGAAGCAAAAAUUAAGAAAAUGUGAAAAAACAUAUGAGUAUGUUCUAUAGUAGAUGAAAAAAAUAAACAAAUAAAAUUAAGAAAAAAUAGUUAUUUUUAAAAAUAGUAAAAUAAUUUUGACAAGAAAAUAUAAUUUACUAUUUUUAGAAGUGAUUCUCCUUUUAUAUAUAUACAUAUCAAUUAUCAAGUGUAUUCAUUUAGAGAAAGAAAUUCAAUGAUCAGAUUUUAACAAUAUUUAGCUAAAUACUCUAACUAACAUAGUUCAAUUCAUCUACAACUUUUUGUCAAAAAUGGAUUUUUUUUGUAGUAAUGUUUGUUUAGCUAUUCGUAAGUAGGGUUGUCAAUCGGUUUAGAUUCGGUUACCCGUACCCAAAUUUUCGAUUAUCCGAAUUGAAAUAUACCAUAUUUCACUAAUCGUUCCCGAACCGUUUUAGGUGUUCGGUUACCUAAUAACCGUUUCGGUUAUUUGGGUAUCCGAAUACCCAUUUAAAAAAUUAAAACUCACAAUAAUUUGCUAGUUAGAGAGAGGAUUUGAACCCUGAUUUCCAAAAAAUACACUAAGCAACUUAUCACACUCAAUUAAAGCUCCUUCUGUGCGCUAGGCGUAGGAGGCGUCGAUUUGUGUUUCUGUAGAUGCUGCCGCGUUGGAUACCUCUCUGGGUUAAACCGUGGCGAAGCUUAGCACCGGUCUGGGAGAUUGGGUUAACCGAUACCCUGAAUUUUUUUAAAAAGUGAUAAUCGAAACCAAUCCAAUGACCGAAAAUUGUGGUUAUUGAAUACCAGAACCUGAGAAUUUCGGUUCGAAUUAUUUGAUUAAUCCAAUACGUGGGGAACAAUUAGACAAACCCCAUUCGUGGGUACGGUUCAUCCUUAAUCUAAUUUUAAUUUUGAUUUUAAUUUUUAUUUAAAUAUUUGUUCUUUUUUUAAAUCCUAGUAAUUUUUUAGUUUUUUUCAUUUUCACUUAAUUUUUAAUUAUUGCAAUAUUUUUAAUUUUAAAAUCUUAUAUUAUAUUUUAACUAAUAUAAUAUUGAAUUUUUAAUAUUAAUAAAAUAUUUAAUUUUAAAAUAGAAGUAUAGAAAUAUAAUUAAAGUGUAGAAAUGUGAAUUUUGUGAAAAUGGGGAUCUAAGCACCCACCUAAGACACAAUGCAUUGGAGAGGGGUGUGUCUUAGGUGGGGACCACUUCUAAGACACCCCUCUAAGACACUUGCAUUGAAGGUGCUCUACGUAUGCUGCUUAUCAUUCCUAUAAAUAUGGAGUUAGAUGAGAAAAUAUUGCAGGGCGAGGAUUAUCUUAAUCUUAAGUUAUAUAAUUAUAAGUUGAAUUAUAUCUAUUAUAGAUUGUUAAUGAAGUUAGAUGAGAAAAUAUUGCAGGGCGAGGAUUAUCUUAAUCUUGAGAAAAUAUGGAAACAUUAGUAGCAGAAAACAAGUCAUCUGCCCCCAGACAACUCCAUAGGAAGGAGGUUGUUGAUUGAAUGGUCUCCCCAGUUGAAUCUCUUCUGCAGCCUCUCGUUUUCGAGCUUCCUCGUGAUCUCGACUUGCUGCCACACCUCCCACCUCUCCGCCAGCCCUUCUCCCUCCAGCAUCCGCACAACCUCCGACAUUGCUGGACGCUCUUCUGGGGAAGACUGAGUACAGAGCAGAGCAACCUGAACCAUCAUCUCCACUUCGUGGAUGUCGUAUUUCCUCUCUAAAUUGCAGUCCACAAUGGCUUCCAGUCUAUUCUCCUGCUGCAGUUUCUUCACCUUCAAAUGGUGAGAGUGCAAAACCAUGAGAGAUUGCAUGAAUUUAAAGCUAAAGAAAUUGCAUCAGACGGUGGCUUACAUGGUCAAGCAGCAAGACAUCGUCUUCUUCUUCCAAGCGUGAAAAAUCUAUAGCUCGCUGGCCAGUUACAAGCUCCAAAAGCAUCACUCCAUAACCAAAAACAUCGGUCUUUUCUGAGGAUUUUCCUGUGGACAAGUACUCGGGAGCUAUGUGGCCCAUCGUUCCACGCACCUGAGUUGUAAUGUUGGCUUUCCUGACAUCAACUAACUUAGCCAAACCAAAGUCACCAACAACAGCUUGAAAAUCUUCAUCUAGCAGCACAUUUGCAGCUUUAACAUCACGGUGAAUGAUUUUAGGAUUACAGUGUUCGUGGAGGUACUCCAGCGCACGUGCUGUGCCUAACGCCACCAAUUUUCUGGUCACCCAAUCCAAUAGAGGGUUCCCGGGUUUAACCUCUGUUCAGAUACGAAAAUACAGAUAAAUAUAACUCAGAUCUUCUACUCAAUUUCCUAGUCUCUUUUGAUAAAUGAGCAAAGAAAGAGAAGCAGAAAUGAGAUGAUACCUCUCAAACGAGAGGCAACACUCAAGUUUUGCAUGAAAGGGUAAACCAGAAGGCGUUCAGUUGGAGUAGUGCAAAAGCCAAUCAAACGCAAAAGGUUUCUGUGAACAGCCACACUUAUCAUCUCAACUUCACGCUGAAAUGCUGUAUCGCCCCCAGGACUCUCAAAAUCCAUCAAACGUUUUACAGCAACUUUGGUGUUAUCACCGAGAAUCCCUUUAUAAACCUUUCCAAAGCCCCCCUGUCCGAGGACAUUCUUUUCACUAAAACCAUCGGUGGCCAGCUGCAGUUCUCUCCAAGAAAACCUCUUCAAUUGACCAAAUUCAAUUCUCUGGUCCACGUCACCUGAGCACACAAUUUAAAAGAUUAAUGAAAGAAAACCAGCAGCACAUGGUUUCAACUUUGAUGUUCCUGACGAAGAGCGUAACAGUAAAAUGCCCACCAGAAAUUAGUGGAGAAAGAAUACAUAUUGAAACAAACCUGCAACAUCAACAAAAACUUCAUGCCUGUUUCCUAUAGCCCCGCCCUUCCACAUAAACAACAGGAGAAAACACCCAAGUAGAAGAACAGCAAAUAGCGGAACCACAAUUCCCACUAUCAUACCAGUUCUCGAUUUCCUUGAACGACCUGCACAGACCAAAUACUGAUGGUCAUUAUUAUCCCAUUACAGCCUCACUUACCAUUUAACUUUCCAGGAUACCAAAUUUUGAUAUUUUCCUAAACUCCAGCUGUCAUAGUUCAAGAUUUCCAUACUGCGUGAUUAUAAGAUACAUAUACCUGCAUUUUCAGAUGCACAAGGCGGGGAAGAAAUGAUGCCACAGUCCAACUGGUUCCCCGUAAAACUAAAGGUGAAGCAAAGCAACUAAAGUUCAGUCGAAGUAGAAUCAUUCAAAGUUAAUUACAUAAGGAUAUGUGAUAAUAACAUGCAAACAAGCACGAUACACGCAACUCACUAGACAUGGAGAUGAGAGGUUGUUCAUACUUAUGUUUGGAAAUCUGAAAUAACUGCUUUGGAAUUUUUCCUCCCAAUCUAUUUGAAGCAAGCUGGCUGAAGAAAAAAAAUGUUAUCAUCAAUGACAGGUAUAGAAACACUGAAUUUAAAGUUGACAUAUAGGUUCCAUUGUAAAA
rnacentral:lncRNA from 1 species